rnacentral:rRNA from 1 species
GACGAACGCUGGCGGCGUGCUUAACACAUGCAAGUCGAGCGGAAAGGCCCCUUCGGGGGUACUCGAGCGGCGAACGGGUGAGUAACACGUGAGUAAUCUGCCCUUGGCUUCGGGAUAGCCACCGGAAACGGUGAUUAAUACCGGAUAUGACCAGCUACUGCAUGGUGGGUGGGGGAAAGUUUUUCGGCCAGGGAUGUGCUCGCGGCCUAUCAGCUUGAUGGUGAGGUAACGGCUCACCAUGGCUUCGACGGGUAGCCGGCCUGAGAGGGUGACCGGUCACACUGGGACUGAGACACGGCCCAGACUCCUACGGGAGGCAGCAGUGGGGAAUAUUGGACAAUGGGCGGAAGCCUGAUCCAGCAACGCCGCGUGAGGGAUGACGGCCUUCGGGUUGUAAACCUCUUUCAGUACCGACGAAGCGCAAGUGACGGUAGGUACAGAAGAAGCACCGGCCAACUACGUGCCAGCCGCCGCAGUAAGAC